rnacentral:rRNA from 1 species
CAAGGUUGAAACUCAAAGGAAUUGACGGGGACCCGCACAAGCGGUGGAUGAUGUGGUUUAAUUCGAUGCAACGCGAAAAACCUUACCUACCCUUGACAUGCCAGGAACCUCGCAGAGAUGUGGGGGUGCCCGAAAGGGAGCCUGGACACAGGUGCUGCAUGGCCGUCGUCAGCUCGUGUCGUGAGAUGUUGGGUUAAGUCCCGCAACGAGCGCAACCCUUGCCAUUAGUUGCUACGAAAGGGCACUCUAAUGGGACUGCCGGUGACAAACCGGAGGAAGGUGGGGAUGACGUCAGGUCCUCAUGGCCCUUAUGGGUAGGGCUACACACGUCAUACAAUGGCCGGUACAGAGGGCUGCCAAAGCGCGAGCUGGAGCCAAUCCCAGAAAACCGGUCGUAGUCCGGAUCGCAGUCUGCAACUCGACUGCGUGAAGUCGGUAAUCGCUAGUAAU